rnacentral:rRNA from 1 species
AUUGAACGCUGGCGGCAGGCCUAACACAUGCAAGUCGAGCGGAGCGGCGGACGGGUGAGUAAUGCCUAGGAAUCUGCCUGGCAUUCGUGGCUAACGUCCGGAAACGGGCGCUAAUACCGCAUACAAUCAGAUGAGCCUAGGUCGGAUUAGCUAGUUGGUGGGGUAAAGGCCUACCAAGGCGACGAUCCGUAACUGGUCUGAGAGGAUGAUCAGUCACACUGGAACUGAGACACGGUCCAGACUCCUACGGGAGGCAGCAGUGGGGAAUAUUUGACAAUGGGCGAAAGCCUGACCGAGCCAUGCCGCGUGUGUGAAGAAGGUCUUCGGAUUGUAAAGCUCUUUAAGUUGGGAGGCGUUAUCAACCCAAUAAGCAACGGCUAACUUCGUGCCAGCAGCCGCGGUAAUAC